AUAGUUUUUAAAAGUUGAAAACUUAUUUUUCAUUUCACUUUUUCAAAAAUGAGGUAAGGCAUAACAAGAGGUGAUUUUUUGUACUUUUGGAGAUUUUCAUCUUUGGCGACGGUGAAUACUUGUUCCAUCAGUGCAGAAGCAGCUGCACCUGCAACAACACCAACAGUAGCACUCACACCGACCUCUAAGGCUGUAGUUUGGGGCAGGCUGUAAUGAUCCUCCAAGUUAUUUUCUAUAGUUUUGCUUAUUUUUGAUAUUUAGAUCUUUACUAUAUCUUCCCCAAGUCAUUUUUGACUUGCUCAAAUUGACAGUUCAGUUACCGAGCAGUUUGUUUCAUGUUUAGAGUCAAUUUCUUAUUUUGAAGCC